GACGAACGCUGGCGGCGUGCUUAACACAUGCGAGUCGAACGGAAAGGCCCCUUUGGGGGUACUCGAGUGGCGCACGGGUGAGUAACACGUGAGUAACCUGCCCUUGACUUCGGGAUAACUUCAGGAAACUGGGGCUAAUACCGGAUAGGAAUCCUUGCUGCAUGGUGGGGGUUGGAAAGCUUCGGCGGUUUUGGAUGGACUCGCGGCUUAUCAGCUUGUUGGUGGGGUAGUGGCUUACCAAGGCUUUGACGGGUAGCCGGCCUGAGAGGGCGACCGGCCACAUUGGGACUGAGAUACGGCCCAGACUCCUACGGGAGGCAGCAGUGGGGAAUAUUGCACAAUGGGCGGAAGCCUGAUGCAGCAACGCCGCGUGCGGGAGGACGGCCUUCGGGUUGUAAACCGCUUUCAGCAGGGGCGAAGCUUGUGGUGACGGUACCUGCAGAAGAAGCACCGGCUAACUACGUG
rnacentral:rRNA from 1 species